CACGUAGGCGGCUCAGCAAAUCGGUCGUGGAAUCCCGACGCUUACCGUCGGAACGGCGGCCGAAAAUACUGGGCUCGAGGGCGUGAGGGGUCACUGGAACUCCUGGUGAAGCGGUGAAAUGCGUAGAUAUCAGGAGGAACGCCGGAGGCGAAAGCGAGUGACUGGCGCGUUCCUGACGCUGAGGUGCGAAAGCUAGGGGAGCAAACA
rnacentral:rRNA from 1 species